GAAAUGCGAUAAGUAAUGUGAAUUGCAGAAUUCAGUGAAUCAUCGAAUCUUUGAACGCAGCUUGCGCUCCUUGGUAUUCCUUGGAGCAUGCCUGUUUGAGUAUCAUGAAAUCUUCAAAGUAAAUCUUUUGUUAACUCAAUUGGUUUCUACUUUGGUAUUGGAGGUCUUUGCAGUUUCACACCUGCUCCUCUUUGUUCAUUAGCUGGAUCUCAGUGUUAUGCUUGGUUCCACUCGGCGUGAUAAGUUAUCUAUCGCUGAGGACACUGUAAAAGGUGGCCAAGGUAAAUGCAGAUGAACCGCUUCUAAUAGUCCAUUGACUUGGACAAUACUUUUAUGAUCUGAUCUCAAAUCAGGUAGGACUACCCGCUGAACUUAAGC
rnacentral:misc_RNA from 1 species